GUUGCAGCUGCCUGGCCAGCCCGAGAGACAGCGGAGAUUCAUUACCCGCCGACACAAUGACCAUUGAUGGCCCCGUGGCGUUAUUCAAAUCCAGUACCAAUUGCAGCCGAGCCCCUUUCUCCGCGCCAGGCCCGUAUUGUUGGAGCGGCCCACUAAAAGCCCGCCCCGGCCCCGAGCCGCCAGAGGCGCCUGCUCGGGUUCAGCCUUGCGCCUCGGCAGCCCGCCGGCUCCCAGUCCGGCUCCACGGGCGCUGCAGGUGACCCGGCGGCGCAUUCCAGCACUCCCCGCCGCCCGGGCCACCGCCGCCACCGCCACCGCAGGCGCCCCGGCCGCGACUCAGCCACAGGAAAGCGGAGAGCGCCCGAGCCGGUGCGUGCGCGGGGCUGGGCGGGGGCGGGGGACCCACGAAUCCAGCAGCCCGGACCCCGGGCUCGGAAACGCGACCCGGCCUGGGGCUCCUGCCUUCCGGAUUCCCGGAGAUCCCAGGCUGGGGGCAGGGAGAGGGGAGUCGGGGUUCCCCAGGCCAGACAGAGGAGAUUCCCCCUCGACCUGGGGCGGCGCUGAGACCCAACGCGGGCCACUCUGCGGACUCCGGGCCGCGAUCGAAGGAGCCACGCCAGGGGCGAUGGGGAUCCCCGCACAGGGUCAGGAUCCGCGUGCUUGCUAGUCCACCUUACCGCCGGAUGGGCAGCCGCUGCUGAGCGCCUGCUAGGUGGUCCGACGCGCAGCUCCGAGCUGUCCUGGACUGGCGCUUUUUAGGAGCGAAGGGGAACCCCGCAGGAGACCAGGGCCCUGAACUCAGGGGCUUCGCCACUGAUUGUCCAAACGCAAUUCUUGUACGAGUCUGCGGCCAACCGAGAAUUGUGGCUGGACAUCUGUGGCUGAGCUCCGGGCGCAACAGGGGCGGGGGCCCCAGGGACAGGGCUCAGCGCGGGCGAGACCUCUCGGGGCGGCGGCUGGCUGGCCCCAGCGCGAGGAUCGCGGUCCCGGCCCGCGCGCACAGAGACGCCGGUCCCUGCCACCAGCGCCGCCAUCCGCAUCCUCGUCCUUCUUCCUUCUCUGCGGGUGACCAGUCCCGGCCGGCAGGGUCCUUCAGUCGAUCGCGUCGUUUUUCCUCCUUUCAAAUUUCGGCCGGAACGAAGCCGGCACGCAGCGGCGGGGCCGAAUGUGGUCCGCCCUCAGCCCAAGCCGCAUGAAGUCGGGGGUGAAAGAAGAGGCCGGCCGAAUGCGCCCGCUAACUCGUUUCGCAGUUGUUCUAACUUAUCACCCCAAUACUCCCUACCUAAACAAAACAAAUCCUCAACCAACCCCUAAAUCCCAAACAAACCAACCCCUCCCGCAAGCCCCUCCGGACGGACCGAUGGGCUGAGCCUCCUCCAGCCGCUGCCAGGGUCCGACGGGCAAGCGUCACCAACGAUGCGCUCCAGCCCGGCAAUCUCCUCGGCUUUGGAAAUAGAAUUUGGAAAAACGAAUCCUUUUCAUUAAAGAAAAAUCUUCGGAGAUA
rnacentral:lncRNA from 1 species